UACAGAGGGGGCAAGCGUUGUUCGGAAUUACUGGGCGUAAAGGGCGCGUAGGCGGCCUGUUAAGUCGGACGUGAAAUCCCUCGGCUCAACCGGGGAACUGCGUCCGAUACUGGCGGGCUUGAAUCCGGGAGAGGGAUGCAGAAUUCCAGGUGUAGCGGUGAAAUGCGUAGAUAUCUGGAGGAAUACCGGUGGCGAAGGCGGCAUCCUGGACCGGCAUUGACGCUGAGGAGCGAAAGCUAGGGGAGCAAACAGG
rnacentral:rRNA from 1 species